CAAUAGCGUAUAUUAAAGUUGUUGCAGUUAAAAAGCCCGUAGUUGGAUUUCUGGUAGGAGUGACCGUUCCGAACUUGAUUGUUCGUGUAUUGUGUUUUCUCCAGCCAUCCUUGUGGAGAACUUUUCUUGCAUUAAUUUGUAGGGAUUGGGACCCGCAUCGUUUACUGUGAAAAAAUUAGAGUGUUUAAAGCAGGCAAUCGCUUGAAUACAUUAGUAUGGAAUAAUAAGAUAGGACUUUGGUACUAUUUUGUUGGUUUGCAUACCAAAUUAAUGAUCAACAGGAACAGUUUGAGGAUAUUCGUAUGAACAUGUCAGAGGUGAAAUUCUUGGAUUUUGAUCAGACGAACUACUGCGAAAGCAUUUAUCAAGGAUGUUUUCAUUAA
rnacentral:rRNA from 1 species